rnacentral:misc_RNA from 1 species
GGCUCCUUGAGGUAUAAUUAACGUUGUAAUUUAAUUUACUUUUCUAGGUAGGCAUCCUUUAAUGCACAUUUUAGGCUGCUUCAACCAAAAAAAUUGUAAUGCUUGAAGUUAUGCAGUAACAUACAAUGCAUCCCAAAGUAUUUAUGUAAAACAUGAUACAUAAUCCUAAAUAAAAGUAUAAUUUAACCUCAAAUUUGUGUCUGUG